ensembl:lncRNA
CACCAACACAAAUUCCCCUCACAUCAACUAUCACAUUAAGCGCUAUUACACCCACUAUUCAAGCUGGUUCAGCUGUUAAUAACACAACUACUGUGUCAAAUGCAAGUGGAUUAAACAGGUUACCUUCAACUCCAGCCUCAUCUACAUCUUACAUAACUACUAAAACUACACAGAGCACUUCAAUAUCUGCCCAGACACUUUCAAGCAAUCAUGUUAGCCAUCCAAUUGGUACUUUUGAAACAACAGUCAAUCAUACGACAGCAAGCUCUUCUGCUGCACCAACUGUCGUGGCUCAAGUAACCAAUCAGACAGCGGUUCUACGAACAAUGACGUCCAAUGCAUUAUUCACAGAGCCAUUUGCAGUACAGUGUAACUUUUCCCAGUACUGCGCUAAUGAAUCAUCAUACUACUGGAUGCUUGUGGAGGUGAAUGGCUCUAAUGUGACAGAGGGAGAGAUUCAGAUUUGGUUUUUAGAUCUUUUUAAUAAAAGCACCUGUUCUGCUGGAGUUUCAACAACAGGAAUCAAUACAACAUCGUGCCAAACUCACAUAGUCUUUGUGACUGCUGAGGUUAGAUGUGAAGCCAAGCAGAACAUCCAGUAAGUCAAAUCUAAAUCUCUAAGCUACACAAGUAUGAUUUCAUUGUAAUUCAACAUCAAGUAACACUGCUACUGUAAUUAUUACAGAAAAACAAACUGCACUGUGCUGCUACAGCUGAGCCAACCUGUUAAUAUGUGCAUCCUCCGAAGGCUGGUGCAAAACGGGACUGUAAACCCAUCAAUCCAGAUCCAGCUUCUGGGAGAUGUAGAAAGAGUGGGUGAGUGUGACAAACACAAAUAAAUAUGGGCUUGAUUAAGUAACUCA